UUAAUCGGAAUUACUGGGCGUAAAGCGCACGCAGGCGGUUUGUUAAGUCAGAUGUGAAAUCCCCGGGCUUAACCUGGGAACUGCAUUUGAAACUGGCAAGCUAGAGUCUUGUAGAGGGGGGUAGAAUUCCAGGUGUAGCGGUGAAAUGCGUAGAGAUCUGGAGGAAUACCGGUGGCGAAGGCGGCCCCCUGGACAAAGACUGACGCUCAGGUACGAAAGCGUGGGGAGCAAACAGGAUUAGAUACCCUGGUAGUCCACGCUGUAAACGAUGUCGAUUUGAAGGUUGUGGUCUUGAGCCGUGGCUUUCGGAGCUAACGCGUUAAAUCGACCGCCUGGGGAGUACGGCCGCAAGGUUAAAACUCAAAUGAAUUGACGGGGGCCCGCACAAGCGGUGGAGCAUGUGGUUUAAUUCGAUGCAACGCGAAGAACCUUACCUACUCUUGACAUCCAGAGAACUGAGCAGAGAUGCUUAGGUGCCUUCGGGAACUGUGAGACAGGUGCUGCAUGGCUGUCGUCAGCUCGUGUUGUGAAAUGUUGGGUUAAGUCCCGCAACGAGCGCAACCCUUAUCCUUUGUUGCCAGCGAGUAAUGUCGGGAACUCAAAGGAGACUGCCGGUGAUAAACCGGAGGAAGGUGGGGAUGACGUCAAGUCAUCAUGGCCCUUACGAGUAGGGCUACACACGUGCUACAAUGGCAUAUACAAAGAGAAGCGAACUCGCGAGAGCAAGCGGACCUCAUAAAGUAUGUCGUAGUCCGGAUUGGAGUCUGCAACUCGACUCCAUGAAGUCGGAAUCGCUAGUAAUCGUAGAUCAGAAUGCUACGGUGAAUACGUUCCCGGGCCUUGUACACACCGCCCGUCACACCAUGGGAGUGGGUUGCAAAAGAAGUAGGUAGCUUAACCUUCGGGAGGGCGCUUACCACUUUGUGAUUCAUGACUGGGGUGAAGUCGUAACAAGGUAACC
rnacentral:rRNA from 1 species